AUUUAUAUAGUUUAAUUAAAACAUUAUAUUUUCAAUAUAAAAAUAAAAAAUUUUUUUUUAUAAAUA
rnacentral:tRNA from 1 species